ensembl:lncRNA FHL1P1 FHL1 pseudogene 1
GCACUGUGCGGGGUAAUACAGCUCGUUUAAAACAAGCUGGAGUCUCCAUUCCGUUUUCCGCGUUGCUUCUCACAACUCACUGUUAGAAUCCAGAAGUAAGAGAACCCGGGGAAGCGUAAGGAAGAUGAAUAGGACAAAGAUUCUAAGAAGGUGGGAAGGAAGAAGGCUGCAGUCUAUUUCAAGUCUGGUGAAUUUCAAUCACUGUAGCCUUUAUUGUUAUUUUAGAGCCACCUAGACCAAAAGAGAAGGAGCUCAAAUUGCUGAGACAUUCUGUUAAACAUCAAGUUGAAAAUGUGGGAUUCCACAGGGUGUGAGCAGAGAGCACUCCACCUUGCCAGCUCAAACCUGCUUUGCAGAGAUAACUUCCCCACCCCUUGGAUGAAAUCUCAAGUGGAUACUAUGACUUUUCACCUCCCUCUCAGAUAAAAAGCAGUCCUCCAGUCACUUUCAGUCAUAACAUAGUUGUAUUUCAGAAAUAAAAUACCUAGUCAUGAAUAAUA